AACGAACGCUGGCGGCAGGCCUAACACAUGCAAGUCGAGCGAGACCUUCGGGUCUAGCGGCGGACGGGUGAGUAACGCGUGGGAACGUGCCCUUUUCUACGGAAUAGCCUCGGGAAACUGAGCGUAAUACCGUAUACGCCCUUUGGGGGAAAGAUUUAUCGGAGAAGGAUGGGCCCGCGUUGGAUUAGGUAGUUGGUGGGGUAAUGGCCUACCAAGCCUACGAUCCAUAGCUGGUUUGAGAGGAUGAUCAGCCACACUGGGACUGAGACACGGCCCAGACUCCUACGGGAGGCAGCAGUGGGGAAUAUUAGACAAUGGGGGCAACCCUGAUCUAGCCAUGCCGAGUGAGUGAUGAAGGCCUUAGGGUUGUAAAGCUCUUUCAGCUGGGAAGAUAAUGACGGUACCAGCAGAAGAAGCCCCGGCUAACUCCGUG
rnacentral:rRNA from 1 species